rnacentral:rRNA from 1 species
CGACUUAUAUUCUGUAGCAAGGUUAACCGUAUAGGGGAGCCGAAGGGAAACCGAGUCUUAACCGGGCGUUAAGUUGCAGGGUAUAGACCCGAAACCCGGUGAUCUAGCCAUGGGCAGGUUGAAGGUUGGGUAACACUAACUGGAGGACCGAACCGACUAAUGUUGAAAAAUUAGCGGAUGACCUGUGGCUGGGGGUGAAAGGCCAAUCAAACCGGGAGAUAGCUGGUUCUCCCCGAAAGCUAUUUAGGUAGCGCCUCGUGAAUUCAUCUCCGGGGGUAGAGCACUGUUUCGGCUAGGGGGCCAUCCCGGCUUACCAACCCGAUGCAAACUGCGAAUACCGGAGAAUGUUAUCACGGGAGACACACGGCGGGUGCUAACGUCCGUCGUGAAGAGGGAAACAACCCAGACCGCCAGCUAAGGUCCCAAAGUCAUGGUUAAGUGGGAAACGAUGUGGGAAGGCCCAGACAGCCAGGAUGUUGGCUUAGAAGCAGCCAUCAUUUAAAGAAAGCGUAAUAGCUCACUGGUCGAGUCGGCCUGCGCGGAAGAUGUAACGGGGCUAAACCAUGCACCGAAGCUGCGGCAGCGAACGUAUCACUU